rnacentral:rRNA from 1 species
CCUACGGGAGGCUGCAGUGAGGAAUAUUGGUCAAUGGACGAGAGUCUGAACCAGCCAAGUAGCGUGAAGGAUGACUGCCCUAUGGGUGGUAAACUUCUUUUAUAUGGGAAUAAAAUGUUCCACGUGUGGGAUUUUGUAUGUACCAUAUGAAUAAGGAUCGGCUAACUCCGUGCCAGCAGCCGCGGUAAUACGGAGGAUCCGAGCGUUAUCCGGAUUUAUUGGGUUUAAAGGGAGCGUAGGUGGAUUGUUAAGUCAGUUGUGAAAGUUUGCGGCUCAACCGUAAAAUUGCAGUUGAAACUGGCAGUCUUGAGUACAGUAGAGGUGGGCGGAAUUCGUGGUGUAGCGGUGAAAUGCUUAGAUAUCACGAAGAACUCCGAUUGCGAAGGCAGCUCACUGGACUGCAACUGACACUGAGGCUCGAAAGUGUGGGUAUCAAACAGGAUUAGAUACCCGGGUAGUC